GUCGAGCGAACGGAAGGAGCUUGCUCCUUUGAAGUUAGCGGCGGACGGGUGAGUAACACGUGGGUAACCUACCUAUAAGACUGGAAUAACUUCGGGAAACCGGAGCUAAUGCCGGAUAACAUAUAGAACCGCAUGGUUCUAUAGUGAAAGAUGGUUUUGCUAUCACUUAUAGAUGGACCCGCGCCGUAUUAGCUAGUUGGUAAGGUAAUGGCUUACCAAGGCGACGAUACGUAGCCGACCUGAGAGGGUGAUCGGCCACACUGGAACUGAGACACGGUCCAGACUCCUACGGGAGGCAGCAGUAGGGAAUCUUCCGCAAUGGGCGAAAGCCUGACGGAGCAACGCCGCGUGAGUGAUGAAGGUUUUCGGAUCGUAAAACUCUGUUAUUAGGGAAGAACAAAUGCGUAAGUAACUGUGCGCAUCUUGACGGUACCUAAUCAGAAAGCCACGGCUAACUACGUGCCAGCAGCCGCGGUAAUACGUAGGUGGCAAGCGUUAUCCGGAAUUAUUGGGCGUAAAGCGCGCGUAGGCGGUUUCUUAAGUCUGAUGUGAAAGCCCACGGCUCAACCGUGGAGGGUCAUUGGAAACUGGGAAACUUGAGUGCAGAAGAGGAAAGUGGAAUUCCAUGUGUAGCGGUGAAAUGCGCAGAGAUAUGGAGGAACACCAGUGGCGAAGGCGACUUUCUGGUCUGUAACUGACGCUGAUGUGCGAAAGCGUGGGGAUCAAACAGGAUUAGAUACCCUGGUAGUCCACGCCGUAAACGAUGAGUGCUAAGUGUUAGGGGGUUUCCGCCCCUUAGUGCUGCAGCUAACGCAUUAAGCACUCCGCCUGGGGAUACGACCGCAAGGUUGAAACU
rnacentral:rRNA from 1 species